GACGAACGCUGGCGGUGUGCUUAACACAUGCAAGUCGAACGGAAAGGCCCUGCUUUUGUGGGGUGCUCGAGUGGCGAACGGGUGAGUAACACGUGAGUAACCUGCCCUUGACUUUGGGAGAACUUCAGGAAACUGGGGCUAAUACCGGAUAGGAGUUCCUGCUGCAUGGUGGGGGUUGGAAAGUUUCGGCGGUUGGGGAUGGACUCGCGGCUUAUCAGCUUGUUGGUGGGGGAGUGGCUUACCAAGGCUUUGACGGGUAGCCGGCCUGGGAGGGUGACCGGCCACAUUGGGCCUGGGAUACGGCCCAGACUCCUCCGGGAGGAAGCGGUGGGGAAUAUUGCACAAUGGGCGGAAGCCUGAUGCAGCAACGCCGCGUGCGGGAUGACGGCCUUCGGGUUGUAAACCGCUUUCGCCUGUGACGAAGCGUUAGUGACGGUAAUGGGUAAAGAAGCACCGGCUAACUACGUG
rnacentral:rRNA from 1 species